GGUUAAGCGACUAAGCGUACACGGUGGAUGCCCUGGCAGUCAGAGGCGAUGAAGGACGUGCUAAUCUGCGAUAAGCGUCGGUAAGGUGAUAUGAACCGUUAUAACCGGCGAUUUCCGAAUGGGGAAACCCAGUGUGUUUCGACACACUAUCAUUAACUGAAUCCAUAGGUUAAUGAGGCGAACCGGGGGAACUGAAACAUCUAAGUACCCCGAGGAAAAGAAAUCAACCGAGAUUCCCCCAGUAGCGGCGAGCGAACGGGGAGCAGCCCAGAGCCUGAAUCAGUGUGUGUGUUAGUGGAAGCGUCUGGAAAGGCGCGCGAUACAGGGUGACAGCCCCGUACACAAAAAUGCACAUGCUGUGAGCUCGAUGAGUAGGGCGGGACACGUGGUAUCCUGUCUGAAUAUGGGGGGACCAUCCUCCAAGGCUAAAUACUCCUGACUGACCGAUAGUGAACCAGUACCGUGAGGGAAAGGCGAAAAGAACCCCGGCGAGGGGAGUGAAAAAGAACCUGAAACCGUGUACGUACAAGCAGUGGGAGCACGCUUAGGCGUGUGACUGCGUACCUUUUGUAUAAUGGGUCAGCGACUUAUAUUCUGUAGCAAGGUUAACCGAAUAGGGGAGCCGAAGGGAAACCGAGUCUUAACUGGGCGUUAAGUUGCAGGGUAUAGACCCGAAACCCGGUGAUCUAGCCAUGGGCAGGUUGAAGGUUGGGUAACACUAACUGGAGGACCGAACCGACUAAUGUUGAAAAAUUAGCGGAUGACUUGUGGCUGGGGGUGAAAGGCCAAUCAAACCGGGAGAUAGCUGGUUCUCCCCGAAAGCUAUUUAGGUAGCGCCUCGUGAAUUCAUCUCCGGGGGUAGAGCACUGUUUCGGCAAGGGGGUCAUCCCGACUUACCAACCCGAUGCAAACUGCGAAUACCGGAGAAUGUUAUCACGGGAGACACACGGCGGGUGCUAACGUCCGUCGUGAAGAGGGAAACAACCCAGACCGCCAGCUAAGGUCCCAAAGUCAUGGUUAAGUGGGAAACGAUGUGGGAAGGCCCAGACAGCCAGGAUGUUGGCUUAGAAGCAGCCAUCAUUUAAAGAAAGCGUAAUAGCUCACUGGUCGAGUCGGCCUGCGCGGAAGAUGUAACGGGGCUAAACCAUGCACCGAAGCUGCGGCAGCGACGCUGAUGCGUUGUUGGGUAGGGGAGCGUUCUGUAAGCCUGCGAAGGUGUGCUGUGAGGCAUGCUGGAGGUAUCAGAAGUGCGAAUGCUGACAUAAGUAACGAUAAAGCGGGUGAAAAGCCCGCUCGCCGGAAGACCAAGGGUUCCUGUCCAACGUUAAUCGGGGCAGGGUGAGUCGACCCCUAAGGCGAGGCCGAAAGGCGUAGUCGAUGGGAAACAGGUUAAUAUUCCUGUACUUGGUGUUACUGCGAAGGGGGGACGGAGAAGGCUAUGUUGGCCGGGCGACGGUUGUCCCGGUUUAAGCGUGUAGGCUGGUUUUCCAGGCAAAUCCGGAAAAUCAAGGCUGAGGCGUGAUGACGAGGUACUACGGUGCUGAAGCAACAAAUGCCCUGCUUCCAGGAAAAGCCUCUAAGCAUCAGGUAACAUCAAAUCGUACCCCAAACCGACACAGGUGGUCAGGUAGAGAAUACCAAGGCGCUUGAGAGAACUCGGGUGAAGGAACUAGGCAAAAUGGUGCCGUAACUUCGGGAGAAGGCACGCUGAUAUGUAGGUGAAGUCCCUUGCGGAUGGAGCUGAAAUCAGUCGAAGAUACCAGCUGGCUGCAACUGUUUAUUAAAAACACAGCACUGUGCAAACACGAAAGUGGACGUAUACGGUGUGACGCCUGCCCGGUGCCGGAAGGUUAAUUGAUGGGGUCAGCGCAAGCGAAGCUCUUGAUCGAAGCCCCGGUAAACGGCGGCCGUAACUAUAACGGUCCUAAGGUAGCGAAAUUCCUUGUCGGGUAAGUUCCGACCUGCACGAAUGGCGUAAUGAUGGCCAGGCUGUCUCCACCCGAGACUCAGUGAAAUUGAACUCGCUGUGAAGAUGCAGUGUACCCGCGGCAAGACGGAAAGACCCCGUGAACCUUUACUAUAGCUUGACACUGAACAUUGAGCCUUGAUGUGUAGGAUAGGUGGGAGGCUUGGAAGUGUGGACGCCAGUCUGCAUGGAGCCGACCUUGAAAUACCACCCUUUAAUGUUUGAUGUUCUAACGUUGACCCGUAAUCCGGGUUGCGGACAGUGUCUGGUGGGUAGUUUGACUGGGGCGGUCUCCUCCUAAAGAGUAACGGAGGAGCACGAAGGUUGGCUAAUCCUGGUCGGACAUCAGGAGGUUAGUGCAAUGGCAUAAGCCAGCUUGACUGCGAGCGUGACGGCGCGAGCAGGUGCGAAAGCAGGUCAUAGUGAUCCGGUGGUUCUGAAUGGAAGGGCCAUCGCUCAACGGAUAAAAGGUACUCCGGGGAUAACAGGCUGAUACCGCCCAAGAGUUCAUAUCGACGGCGGUGUUUGGCACCUCGAUGUCGGCUCAUCACAUCCUGGGGCUGAAGUAGGUCCCAAGGGUAUGGCUGUUCGCCAUUUAAAGUGGUACGCGAGCUGGGUUUAGAACGUCGUGAGACAGUUCGGUCCCUAUCUGCCGUGGGCGCUGGAGAACUGAGGGGGGCUGCUCCUAGUACGAGAGGACCGGAGUGGACGCAUCACUGGUGUUCGGGUUGUCAUGCCAAUGGCACUGCCCGGUAGCUAAAUGCGGAAGAGAUAAGUGCUGAAAGCAUCUAAGCACGAAACUUGCC
rnacentral:rRNA from 1 species